AUUGAACGCUGGCGGCAGGCCUAACACAUGCAAGUCGAACGAGUGGCGGACGGGUGAGUAAUGUCUGGGAAACUGCCUGAUGGAGGGUGAUAACUACUGGAAACGGUAGCUAAUACCGCAUACCAUCAGAUGUGCCCAGAGGGGAUUAGCUAGUAGGUGGGGUAACGGCUCACCUAGGCGACGAUCCCUAGCUGGUCUGAGAGGAUGACCAGCCACACUGGAACUGCGACACGGUCCUGACGCCUACGUGAGGCAGGAGUGGGGAAUAUUGCACAAUGGGCGCAAGCCUGAUGCAGCCAUGCCGAGUGUAUGAAGAAGGCCUUCGGGAUGUAAAGUACUUUCAGCGGGGAGGCGUUACCCGCAGAAGAAGCACCGGCAAACUCCGUGCCAGCAGCCGCGGUAAUAC
rnacentral:rRNA from 1 species